GUCUGACCUGCCCUAUGAUAUAAAUAUAUUAAAUGGCCGCGAUAAUUUGAUCGUGCAAAGGUAGCAUAAUAAUUAGUUUCUUAAUUGGGAACUGGAAUGAAGGGUCGCACGAGAAAAAGACUGUCUCAAUUUAAAUUUAAUUAGAAUUUUAUUUUUAAGUAAAAAAGCUUAAAUAAUUUUAAAAGACGAGAAGACCCUAUAGAGUUUUAUAUUUAUUUAUUUAUUUUUUAGUUUUAGAAUUUAAUUUUAAAAUUUAUAAUUAAAUAUUUGGUUGGGGCGAUUAAAAAAUUAAAUAAACUUUUUUUUAUUUAUUUAACAUUAAUAUAUGAUUAAGUGAUCCAUAAAUAAUGAUUAAAAGAUUAAAUUACCUUAGGGAUAACAGCGUAAUUUUUUUUGAGAGUUCUUAUUGAAAAAAAAGUUUGCGAGCUCGAUGU
rnacentral:rRNA from 1 species